rnacentral:rRNA from 1 species
AUUGAACGCUGGCGGCAGGCCUAACACAUGCAAGUCGAACGAGUGGCGGACGGGUGAGUAAUGUCUGGGAAACUGCCCGAUGGAGGGGGAUAACUACUGGAAACGGUAGCUAAUACCGCAUACCAUCGGAUGUGCCCAGAUGGGAUUAGCUAGUAGGUGGGGUAACGGCUCACCUGGGCGACGAUCCCUAGCUGGUCUGAUAGGAUGACCGGCCAAACUGGAACUGAGAGACGGUCCGGACUCCUACGGGAGGCAUCAGUGGGGAAUAUUGCACAGUGAGCGAAAUCCGUAUGCAGACAUGCCGCGUGUAUGAAGAAGGCCUACGGGUUGUAAGGUACUUUCAGCGAGGAGGCGUUACUCGCAGAAGAAGCACCGGCUAACUCCGUGCCAGCAGCCGCGGUAAUAC